rnacentral:rRNA from 1 species
GAUGAACGCUGGCGGCGUGCCUAAUACAUGCAAGUCGAGCGAAUGGAUUAAGAGCUUGCUCUUAUGAAGUUAGCGGCGGACGGGUGAGUAACACGUGGGUAACCUGCCCAUAAGACUGGGAUAACUCCGGGAAACCGGGGCUAAUACCGGAUAAUAUUUUGAACUGCAUGGUUCAACAUUGAAAGGCGGCUUCGGCUGUCACUUAUGGAUGGACCCGCGUCGCAUUAGCUAGUUGGUGAGGUAACGGCUCACCAAGGCAACGAUGCGUAGCCGACCUGAGAGGGUGAUCGACCACACUGGGACUGAGACACGGCCCAGACUCCUACGGGAGGCAGCAGUAGGGAAUCUUCCGCAAUGGACGAAAGUCUGACGGAGCAACGCCGCGUGAGUGAUGAAGGCUUUCGGGUCGUAAAACUCUGUUGUUAGGGAAGAACAAGUGCUAGUUGAAUAAGCUGGCACCUUGACGGUACCUAACCAGAAAGCCACGGCUAACUACGUGCCAGCCGCCGCCGUAA